GCAGUUGUUAGGAAGGGGUUGAACGAAGCUGCAGAGCAGAGUUGUGAGCCUACGGACAGAAAUAGCAUACAAGGCCAAGUCUCCGGGAAGUUAGCACAACAUAACGAAGCCCGGUAGCAAUUCAAAGGAUAUGGUAUCUCUUUGAUUUUGUAACGACUUCAGUCUGGAAU
rfam:Desulfobacterales bacterium C00003104 5133_contig_1901.2, whole genome shotgun sequence.